UCGGGAAUUUUGCGCAAUGGGCGAAAGCCUGGCGCAGCAACGCCGCGUGAGGGAUGAAGGCCUUCGGGUUGUAAACCUCUUUUCUCAGGGACGAUAAUGACGGUACCUGAGGAAUAAGCCACGGCUAACUACGUGCCAGCAGCCGCGGUAACACGUAGGUGGCAAGCGUUGUCCGGAUUUACUGGGCGUAAAGAGCGCGCAGGCGGUCGUACAAGUCGCGUGUGAAAGCCCCCGGCUCAACUGGGGAGGGUCACGCGAUACUGUUCGACUCGAAGGCAGGAGAGGGAAGCGGAAUUCCCGGUGUAGUGGUGAAAUGCGUAGAUAUCGGGAGGAACACCAGUGGCGAAGGCGGCUUCCUGGCCUGUUCUUGACGCUGAGGCGCGAAAGCUAGGGGGAGCAAAACGGGAUUAGAUACCCCGGUAGUCCUAGCCGUAAAACGAUGGACACUAGGUGUUGGUGGUAUCAACCCCGCAGUGCCGAAGCUAACGCAUUAAGUGUCCCG
rnacentral:rRNA from 1 species